rnacentral:rRNA from 1 species
CCCCGAACGGUGGAUCACUCGGCUACGCGGAU